CGACGUGUAGCUCAGCAGUAGAGCACCGGGCUCCUAACCCGGAGGGCGCAGGGGCAGGACCUGCCACGUCGG
rnacentral:tRNA from 1 species